rnacentral:rRNA from 1 species
AACGAACGCUGGCGGCAGGCCUAACACAUGCAAGUCGAACGCCGUAGCAAUACGGAGUGGCAGACGGGUGAGUAACGCGUGGGAACAUACCCCUCGGUUCGGAAUAACUCAGGGAAACUUGAGCUAAUACCGGAUACGUCCGAGGUCUUAAUCGGCCUUGGAGAAAGAUUUAUCGCCGGAGGAUUGGCCCGCGUCUGAUUAGCUUGUUGGUGAGGUAAUGGCUCACCAAGGCGACGAUCAGUAGCUGGUCUGAGAGGAUGAUCAGCCACAUUGGGACUGAGACACGGCCCAAACUCCUACGGGAGGCAGCAGUGGGGAAUAUUGGACAAUGGGACGAAAGCCUGAUCCAGCCAUGCCGCGUGAGUGAUGAAGGCC